rnacentral:rRNA from 1 species
UACGAAGGGUGCAAGCGUUAAUCGGAAUUACUGGGCGUAAAGCGUGCGUAGGUGGUCUUUUAAGUCCGUUGUGAAAGCCCUGGGCUCAACCUGGGAAUGGCAGUGGAUACUGGAAGGCUGGAGUACGGUAGAGGAGGGUGGAAUUCCCGGUGUAGCGGUGAAAUGCGUAGAGAUCGGGAGGAACAUCAGUGGCGAAGGCGGCCCUCUGGACCAGUACUGACGCUGAGGCACGAAAGCGUGGGGAGCAAGCAGG